GAUGAACGCUGGCGGCGUGCCUAAUACAUGCAAGUCGAGCGAAUGGAUUAAGAGCUUGCUCUUAUGAAGUUAGCGGCGGACGGGUGAGUAACACGUGAGUAACCUGCCCAUAAGACUGGGAUAACUCCGGGAAACCGGGGCUAAUACCGGAUAACAUUUUGAACCGCAUGGUUCGAAAUUGAAAGGCGGCUUCGGCUGUCACUUAUGGAUGGACCCGCGUCGCAUUAGCUAGUUGGUGAGGUAACGGCUCACCAAGGCAACGAUGCGUAGCCGACCUGAGAGGGCGAUCGGCCACACUGGGACUGAGACACGGCCCAGACUCCUACGGGAGGCAGCAGUAGGGAAUCUUCCGCAAUGGACGAAAGUCUGACGGAGCAACGCCGCGUGAGUGAUGAAGGCUUUCGGGUCGUAAAACUCUGUUGUUAGGGAAGAACAAGUGCUAGUUGAAUAAGCUGGCAUCUUGACGGUACCUAACCAGAAAGCCACGGCUAACUACGUGCCAGCAGCCGCAGUAA
rnacentral:rRNA from 1 species